rnacentral:tRNA from 1 species
UCCCAUAUGGUCUAGUGGUCAGGAUUUGGCGGUUUCACCGCCAGGGCCCGGGUUCAAUUCCCGGUGUGGGAA